UGAUUCAAAAACUUCGGCAUUGCAUACCUACCAACAUUGUCGAGUGCAAGAGUUCCUGCAAUCUAUAAAUUUGCAAAUAACAUAGCCUAACCAUAUAAUAUAUUUCUUACAUAAAAUUAAGCUUUGAAUCAUGGCACUCAACGCAAAAUCUUUUCUGGUGACUCUCCUCGUCAUCGCCAUGGUGCUCUCUCUGAUGCAGAUGUCAUGCGAAGCUGCUCGAGUUCAAGGUGUCGGUCGAGCGUUACUGCAAGGCGGCCCGUUUUGCCCAGCUUGUGUGUGCUGUGCCCCUGCUCCACCAAAUGGAUGCUGCCCUUGCGUUUGCCCGCCUCCGCCCGCAUGAUCACACAAACAGAGGAUCUCGAUUGAAUAAUAGAAGCUUCCAAAAUGUUUUUGGCGAGCUGAUAUGAAUAAAAAAAAUCACCCUUCAUAUUGUUGUAUUUUGAUGUGGAUUCAUCGUCUUGAAUCCCUACCUUGUUUUCCACCGUGAUGUAUCCACGUGUUUGUUACACUAUACCUUGUAAUAAAUUAAAACUUAAAUCA